GCCGAGUUCAUCCCGUGCCCGGUCUUGCUUUUACCAUUGUAAGAUCCUAUGAUUGAAAUUGAACUCAAAUAUGUGUUGCAAAUGCCAGUUUUUCUCCUAGGCUUUUGUGAUCUUCAUGUAAUUUGUUCAAACUUUGCUAAUUGAUUAGCUGAUUCUGGUAGUACUAGUCUUUACAAGAGCUUGGGAAAUGACAGAUUUAGCAUUAUCUAUAAAUGGUUGAGCUUUUUUAGCAUAAUAUGAGGUUUUCUAAACUUAUGAGCAGUGCCUUAUGGUUUAAAUAUGCCAUACGUAAUUGGACUUUUAUUUUUAGGAAUUUAGUCCCUCUACUUUUUAUAUUUUAAAAUUCAAGUCCAAUAAUUAACUAUGUAAGUUUCUUUUGUUGUCGUGACAUUUUAAAAUAAAAAAUCUCACUUGAUUACAAUAUAAUUUUAAAAAAAAUGACGUUAUAAUAAAUUUGAAUUUAAUAAAAUAAUUUUAACAUGAACUUGAAAUUUGAUGAAUUUUAAAAUUUGAAACUAGAAUUAAAAAUACAGUGAUUAAAUUUUAAAUUUACAAGAAAG
rnacentral:lncRNA from 1 species